UCGAGAAUCUUCGGCAAUGGGCGCAAGCCUGACCGAGCGACGCCGCGUGUGCGACGAAGGCCUUCGGGUUGUAAAGCACUGUCGAGGGGGAGGCCUAUCCCUGGAGGAAGCACGGGCUAAGUUCGUGCCAGCAGCCGCGGUAAGACGAACCGUGCGAACGUUGUUCGGAAUCACUGGGCUUAAAGGGCGCGUAGGCGGGCGAUCAAGUCUGGAGUGAAAUCCUCCGGCUCAACCGGAGAACAGCUUUGGAUACUGGUCGUCUGGAGUGGGGUAGGGGCGUGUGGAACGGUCGGUGGAGCGGUGAAAUGCGUUGAUAUCGACCGGAACUCCGGUGGCGAAAGCGACGCGCUGGACCCUAACUGACGCUGAGGCGCGAAAGCCAGGGGAGCAAACGGGAUUAGAUACCCUUGUAGU
rnacentral:rRNA from 1 species